UGGGGAAUAUUGCACAAUGGGCGAAAGCCUGAUGCAGCGACGCCGCGUGAUGGAUGACGGCCUUCGGGUUGUAAACCUCUUUCAGCAGGGACGAAGCGCAAGUGACGGUACCUGCAGAAGAAGCACCGGCUAACUACGUGCCAGCAGCCGCGGUAAUACGUAGGGUGCAAGCGUUGUCCGGAAUUACUGGGCGUAAAGAGUUCGUAGGCGGUUUGUCGCGUCGUUUGUGAAAACCAGCAGCUCAACUGCUGGCUUGCAGGCGAUACGGGCAGACUUGAGUACUGCAGGGGAGACUGGAAUUCCUGGUGUCGCGGUGAAAUGCGCAGAUAUCAGGAGGAACACCGGUGGCGAAGGCGGGUCUCUGGGCAGUAACUGACGCUGAGGAACGAAAGCGUGGGUAGCGAACAGGA
rnacentral:rRNA from 1 species